rnacentral:tRNA from 1 species
GCCUGGGUGGCUCAGUCGGUUGGGCAUCUGACUUCGGCUCAGGUCAUGAUCUCAUGGUUUGUGGGUUUGAGCCCCACAUCGGGCU